UCAUGGUCCAUUCAGCAUCCUAUGGCAGGAGCUACAUAGAGAGUAUAUCAAUCGUCUUUUUUAUUAAGAUGCCAGGACUCGCGUUGCAUAAAAAGGAGACAACGCAUCCCUUCCAACCUUCAUUCAAGCUUAGGAUUUGAAAACAAAAUAAAAUUUGGAAGAACAAAAAUAAUGUAUACUACUUAUCAACAACACCAUCAGAAGAAAAUAAUAUAUGACUUCUUACUAUUUACUGAAGGGCUCCUGAACCACACCGUGAGCUGAACAAUUUGUGUAUACCCUUGCUUGGCAACUGGUCAAGCACGGACUCUAAGCAACACAGAACCUGAAGUAAAGAUGGUCUUCAUCGUGUCAUCUUCCCAGACUAGAAUGUAGUGGAUUAAAGAGCCCUCACCCAGUGGCUGAAGGAAGCAGAGACAGACAUCCACAGAUAUACACUGAGCUGAAAUCAGGAAUUUAGUUGAAGAGAGGGAGGAAUGAAGAACGAAAGGGUCUGUACCAGGUUGGAGAAACCCACAGGAACAGUUGACCUGAACAAGGGAGAGCACAUCGACCCCAGAUGCUGUCGGGGAGGCCAGUACAAGACUGAUCCAGACCCCUGAACAUGGAUGUCAAUAAGGAGGCCUCUGCACUCCAGGGAGCCUCUGGUGGUGGAUUAGUAUUUUUCCCUGGUGCAAGAAGGGACUUUGAGAGCCCAUCCCACGUGAAGGGAUACACUCUGGCCCUGGACACAUGGGGAAGGGCCCAGGCCCAGCCCAGGAAGAUUUGGUGGACUUUGCAGAGCCCCUGUUGAGGGCCCUACCCUGCCUGGGGAGUGGUGG
rnacentral:lncRNA from 1 species